rnacentral:rRNA from 1 species
UACGGAGAGGGCUAGCGUUGUUCGGAAUUACUGGGCGUAAAGGGCUCGUAGGUGGCCAACUAAGUCAGACGUGAAAUCCCUCGGCUUAACCGGGGAACUGCAUCUGAUACUGGAUGGCUUGAGAUUGGGAGAGGGAUGCAGAAUUCCAGGUGUAGCGGUGAAAUGCGUAGAUAUCUGGAGGAAUACCGGUGGCGAAGGCGGCAUCCUGGACCGACAUUGACGCUGAUGAGCGAAAGCUAGGGGAGCAAACGGG